UACGUAGGGUGCGAGCGUUGUCCGGAAUUAUUGGGCGUAAAGAGCUCGUAGGCGGCCUGUCGCGUCGGAUGUGAAAGCCCGGGGCUUAACCCCGGGUCUGCAUUCGAUACGGGCAGGCUAGAGUGUGGUAGGGGAGAUCGGAAUUCCUGGUGUAGCGGUGAAAUGCGCAGAUAUCAGGAGGAACUCCGGUGGCGAAGGCGGAUCUCUGGGCCAUUACUGACGCUGAGGAGCGAAAGCGUGGGGAGCGAACAGG
rnacentral:rRNA from 1 species